rnacentral:rRNA from 1 species
AUGAACGCUGGCGGCGUGCCUAAUACAUGCCACUCGAGCGAACAGACGAGGAGCUUGCUCCUCUGACGUUAGCGGCGGACGGGUGAGUAACACGUGGAUAACCUACCUAUAAGACUGGGAUAACUUCGGGAAACCGGAGCUAAUACCGGAUAAUAUAUUGAACCGCAUGGUUCAAUAGUGAAAGACGGUUUUGCUGUCACUUAUAGAUGGAUCCGCGCCGCAUUAGCUAGUUGGUAAGGUAACGGCUUACCAAGGCGACGAUGCGUAGCCGACCUGAGAGGGUGAUCGGCCACACUGGAACUGAGACACGGUCCAGACUCCUACGGGAGGCAGCAGUAGGGAAUCUUCCGCAAUGGGCGAAAGCCUGACGGAGCAACGCCGCGUGAGUGAUGAAGGUCUUCGGAUCGUAAAACUCUGUUAUUAGGGAAGAACAAAUGUGUAAGUAACUAUGCACGUCUUGACGGUACCUAAUCAGAAAGCCACGGCUAACUACGUG